AGGGAUCCUGCUUACUGCUGGG
rnacentral:piRNA from 1 species